AGCAGCCGCGGUAAUUCCAGCUCCAAUAGCGUAUAUUAAAGUUGUUGCAGUUAAAAAGCUCGUAGUUGAAUUUCGGGGUCAGCAGGUUGGUCGUGCCACUGGUAUGCACUGGCUUCGCUGAUUCCUCCUUCUUGAAGAACUGUAAUGUCAUUAAUUUGGUGUUGCAGGGAAACAGGACUGUUACUUUGAAAAAUUAGAGUGUUUAAAGCAGGCAUUAGCUUGAAUACAUUAGCAUGGAAUAAUGAAAUAGGACGUUUGACCCUAUUUUGUUGGUUUCUAGGAUCGACGUAAUGAUUAAUAGGGAUAGUUGGGGGCAUUAGUAUUCAAUUGUCAGAGGUGAAAUUCUUGGAUUUAUUGAAGACUAACUACUGCGAAAGCAUUUGCCAAGGAUGUUUUCAUUAAUCAAGAACGAAAGUUAGGGGAUCGAAGACGAUCAGAUACCGUCGUAGUCUUAACCAUAAACUAUGCCGACUAGGGAUCGGAUGAUGUUAAUUUUUAAUUGACUCAUCCGGUCG
rnacentral:rRNA from 1 species